rnacentral:tRNA from 1 species
GAUAGCUCAGUGGUAGAGCAACAGAACAUUUGCAGGUUCGAAUCCUGCUCCAAU